rnacentral:lncRNA from 1 species
AUCUCACCAGCCUCCUCCAUGCCAGGCUCGGGCUCUUCCUGCUCCUGGAACAAGCUCCGGACUCGGGGCAUUCGCCGCAGAUGCUGCAUCUCCGAAGCUCUCGGCUGGUAGAGAGCAGCCGCCACAUGCUCUGGGGCGGCAGGGCUGAGCUGCCAAGAGCUCCUGGCCAUGACCUUGGUGCAUGGAGUCCAGAGGGGGCUGGGGAAGACCUUCUCUUCACACUCGAGGAUGCACACCUGCAAAGAUACGGAUGGGACCGUCUAGCUGCAGAAAAACAAGCUCAGGGCUCCCACUG